GGGAAUCCGGUCGAGCGGCGACAACUUGGUGUUCGAGGUCGGCAUGGUCUCCGCCAAGUACCCCUCUAAGAACUUCGAUGAAAGCCCUGUUUGCGAGGGUCAGCACUCCUAUUCUUAGCAGAUACAAUGUGAUAGAAGAAGUGCACGAGAAGCUGACGAUGCUUCUAGACAAGCUUCCAAAGCUAGUUCCCAAGUAUACGAGAACAAGUACUAAAUAGUUAGCUUAUGAAACUUAUGAUAUUUUGAUAUAAGUUGUUCGAAUUUUGUGUCUUCCAUGUUCGAUUGUCACAGAGAAGUAGUCCAAACAUAGAAAGAGACAGCAUUAAGAGAAAAGAAAGGUCUAAAGCCACUUCUCAGUUAAACCUGUUGGUAUUUUACGAGGGUCUUCAUGCAAGUUACUAAAUUGGCUCGGAAAUAGACAAGUUGUUGCAACUGGAGAAAUAGAAUCAACAAAUCCUGAGGUGAAAGUUCAUCA
rnacentral:sRNA from 1 species